UACGAAGGGUGCAAGCGUUAAUCGGAAUUACUGGGCGUAAAGGGUGCGUAGGCGGUUCGUUAAGUCUGUCGUGAAAUCCCGGGCUCAACCUGGGAAUGGCGAUGGGUACUGGCGAGCUAGAGUGUGUCAGAGGAUGGUGGAAUUCCCGGUGUAGCGGUGAAAUGCGUAGAGAUCGGGAGGAACAUCAGUGGCGAAGGCGGCCAUCUGGGACAACACUGACGCUGAAACACGAAAGCGUGGGGAGCAAACAGG
rnacentral:rRNA from 1 species